rnacentral:lncRNA from 1 species
CUGGUCUCAAAGAUACUAGGACAAGGAAAUACUGUACUACAGACAUUCAUCUGACUCUUUGUCUCUUAAUGGAUCUCACAAAAGUGGAGGUGAAACAGACAUCUUGAUUUUGGCAUCCAACAUAUCAACCAUUAUGUUUAUCUUCACACUUAUUAGUUUAUGGAUUCACCUGGGUGACACAGAGGCAAAUGCAAUCUUCCCACUAUCACCUAUUAUUAGCACUGUUGUAGGUGGAAAUGUAACCCUAUCCUGUAGUUACAAAGGCUUCACUGGAAGAGUGCUAAAUGUGCAGUGGUGCAGACAAUAUGCUGGAUCAAAACCUGAGUUCUUUAUCACAGUCUAUCAACAUACCAUAAGAGCGUUGGGAGUGCUAACUCUAAACCUUGUGCCACACUUUUCAGGCAAAGUUGAUCAAGACCUCCAACAAGUGGAUCUAAAGUUCUGCGAAGUUGUUUGGAAAUAUUCAGCUGUGUACUACUGUGCCCUGGUGCCUCAUACAAAUAUUUUAUUUUAUUUAAUAUUUAUGUAAUGUAUUGUCACAGUUAAAAAAAAAAAAAAAAAAAAAAAAUCUACUUCUCUUUUUUGGGGAUUAAAUAUAUUCUCUUGAACUCAAUAGUCUUACAAAUGUCUUACAUAACAAAUAGAGCAAAAUAAAUUAAAUUUGUCCCAAUUAAAGUAACAGCUCAAACUAAGUCAUAAAUGACAUCAAUAACAUUUUCUUUUACAAACUAAGCAGGCAGACCAUCCACACACUUCUCCUCAAUUUACAGGAGCCCUUAAACCAUAUUUAAUGGAUACCUUUACUUGUUUAAUAAGUUGAACAAUAAACUAAGAAAAUAAAAUGUAUAAUUUCAAACAAUAUAUAGAAAAAUGUUUAUUUAGUUUUGCUUCAUUGUUUUGGUAAUUCAUAAAGAUAUCUAAAUUUGUUAAAAUUACAAUUUUUGAUAAAUUAUGAACAACACACAUCUUAAUUCAAAUAUGCCCUUACGACACAUUUAAGAUGCAUAUUGUGCAGAUGUCUUUACUUGUUCAUUUUAGUUGUUUUCAAUGUCCAG